rnacentral:lncRNA from 1 species
GGCAGAGUGCGGGAAGCGCCGAUGGGUCCUUACCUGCAGGGAGCUUUCUCCGGCUUCUUAGAAUACCUGGGAGCAGGAAUUGGCUAGCCCUAAGACCUCUGGACCCAGCCUGUACAAAACCUUUUUAGUAUAUUAGAAGAAAGGUGUUCCUUUUGAUGUGACAUCAGUUUUUCAGUGGCACAAUCCCGAAUGCUUAUGGUCCCAGCCCACUGAGCUCUACCAAGCUAUGUUAGAGCGUUGCAAACUAGAAACCAGCACCCACGGGGUUGUAGGAUGCCUUAGGAUUUAUAAGUUGGUGUCGGAAAGAGGGUUUCUGUGAAUUUGUCAGCCAGCCUUUACAUCUCAAAAUUUAAUUCCAAGAGCUUUCCAAAUUUUGAAACCAUGGCAAGAGUGCAUUCAAAUGAAACUGACUUUGGUUUGGUUUGGUUUUGGUGAGAGGGAUAAUGUGCUAUGGACCCAGGCGUCUGUAGAACCUGGACAUUUGAUAUAGGAUCGGUCUUCCACUCAAUGAAUACGUUCUAUAUUUUAAAGGGGACUCCUCUUUCCCUUGCUUAGGAAAAAAUAUCGUCAAAAUAUUCAUGGUAAUC